GAGUUUUAGAAUCCUUCAAGAUCACAGCAGACAGCUCCUGGGAAACACUGAAGGUUUAAGGGAAGACUUGCUCCUGCUUCCUGACCUGUUUGAGUUAGAGUCCUGACUUCCUUGGUGAUGAACAGCAAUGUGGAAGUGUUGCAGAGGGGCACAUAUGGUGCCAGUUCCCAUGGCUGCACAUCUGGAGCAAGGCAGAGACAGGGACAGUUAUGUCUGAGCGAGCUGUGAGCAGAGGAUGGUGAAUCCCGAAUCUAGGAGCAGCAUUUUUAUCCGGUCAGAAAAGGUUACAAGAUAUUAAAGAAUUUAGCCAAGAACACAAAGUUGAAAAAAUUGGUAGAUGAGACUCAAUUCUAAGAGCUGGCACCAAAGGAGUUUCAAGAAUAGGCAUUUGAUGCUUUUGGAUAUUUCACAGACAUCAUCCAACAUUUCCUUCUUUUGCCUCAAAGGCAGUAGCAAAGGACCGCCCAGAUCUGCAGGGACCAGUGUGUUGGAAGAUUUACAAGCUACCACGAACAGACAGACAGACGGACAGACUGAAGAUUCACAGUGAGAUUGCGUGAAAGAGGGUAAAUGAGACUUUGAACAGAGCAGGACCAAAAACAAUAGCCAAGUCAUAAAGAAGAAGGGGGCUGGCUCUCAGGCCAGGGGAUCACAUCGGAAGCCAGAUGUUUCCACCACAUUGAACAUGCUCCUUUAAAAUAGUUGAUGGAACAGUUCCACUUUAUUUUUUUAAUCCUAAAAUCUGAUUUCUCUUUCAAUUCAUAAGAUAGUAUACAUUUCUACUCUGCCGGAUCUUCAGAAGACUGACCAAACUCAAGGUUUUGUUUGACAGCCAGCAAAUGGGGCAACUUAUGUGACUAGCCAAAAUUUUCAUGAGUGACCUGACACCCAGCAGAAGAAUCAGAUACUGGCAGAACAAAACUCUUGUUUGAUCUCAUUAUGUUUGACUUUCAUUUUCUAAUAGAUGAUAAAGUUUAAAAUGACACAAAUAUUUCAUUAUAAAUCUUUCACUGUUUUCAAAUAUCCCUAAACAUUUAAAUGUCCAUUUUCCAUGCAGGCUUAUUACAAUGGUGAUUCUAACCCAGAUGGCAUUUUAGAUGUUUGAACAACUUUUAUCUUUGACCUUUUGGGGGGCAGUGGAAUAUGAACCCAAACAUUCAAACAUCCAUCUGAAUGUCUCAGGUUGAAAUAACUUGAAAUGUUAAAAUGGCAUUGAUAUUGAAGUAUUGAAAUUUUGUAAAGUUGAAAUAGCAACUUCAAAAUGUUCUUGAUGUAUUCCCUAUAUAAUGUUGACAAUUUCUGCCUAUAAAUAGAAUUUCUCUUUCUGACACUGGAGGAUGGAUAUUAGAAAGUAUGCUUCAAGCCUUUUGACUUGACAACACAGAUAUAGCUAGGACCUGUAUAAAUGACUUCUACUAAUUAAUCUAUGAAAACUUCUAUGUUUCAAAGCAUAGAUAACUAUUGUUCUGACUAUAUCAUGUGCCAGUGUGCAUAAAAAAUAAAAUAUUCUAUAUC
ensembl:antisense 4930579H20Rik RIKEN cDNA 4930579H20 gene